GUGACUCAUCAAAUCUUUGAACGCAAAUUGCACUCUCUUCGGAGAGUAUGCCUGUUUGAGGGUCAGCCUAUAAAAAAUCGACAUCGUUGCUGUUUCUCGGUGACGUUAGUCGGAAAUUGGGUUAUCUUAAAUCCUUUUGGUUUUAAGAGACUUAAAAUUUUCUUCUUGGUUUCAUGAACGUUUCUAAGAAUUAUUUCUUUACACGUUUAAGGGUAUCGAUUUUUAUUAGACGUGACCAUCAUAUGGGAUCGAGUGCAUAAUCUUUCAUUAAUUG
rnacentral:misc_RNA from 1 species